CAUUGUACACGAUGAGAACAGGUUCGUUACAGGUCUGAUCCCCUCGUGCUUCGCCGUCUUCGUGCUGCUAGUCCCGCUGCUGCUGCCGCCGCUGCACUGGAAGCUCCACUCCUCGUCUGAAGCAUAGCACGGUGUGCUUUUCUUAUAGGAAAAAUCUUACUCUUAGAACCUCUUCAGUUCGGUCUGAAGAAGGUAAGCUGUCAGCUUACAGCGUGAUAGUGUCUAGUAGCCUCAGAAUUCUGUCCCGAAUCUAAAAGCAUUGUAGGCUGGGUAUAGACAUGUUUCUUGGACAAGCUUUUUUUUAUUAUUUAAAAUCAGCACCAGACAUUGCUAUGUGCUUUCUGCAGUUAUAUAUGCAGGAAGUAUUAUUAUAUAAAAACAUGGUGGAAGUAUGAAG
rnacentral:sRNA from 1 species